UACGUAGGGUGCAAGCGUUUAAUCGGAAUUACUGGGCGUAAAGCGUGCGCAGGCGGUUUGGUAAGACAGAUGUGAAAUCCCCGGGCUCAACCUGGGAAUUGCAUUUGUGACUGCCCGACUAGAGUGUGUCAGAGGGGGGUAGAAUUCCACGUGUAGCAGUGAAAUGCGUAGAGAUGUGGAGGAAUACCGAUGGCGAAGGCAGCCCCCUGGGAUCAACAC
rnacentral:rRNA from 1 species